rnacentral:rRNA from 1 species
UGACAGUUUCUGUCUUAUUAGAGGAACCUGUUUAUUAAUCGAUAACCCACGCUAUUUCUUACUUAAAUUAUUAACUAAAAAUUUAUAUACCGCCGUAAAAGAAUUAAUUUUAAUAUUACAUUCCUAAUAAUUUUUCUAAAAAAUCAGGUCAAGGUGUAAUCUAAGUUAAAGAUUAAAUGGGUUACUUUAAAUAUAAUUUAAGGAAUAUUAUUUAAACAAAAAUAAGAAAAAGGAUUUAACAGUAUCUUUAUAAAAAUAUUAUAAAAUGAAUAAGAAAAUACUAUUGUGCACACAUCGCGGUCCGCUUCUUAUAAAAA